CAAAGAUUAUACUCUGAAAAGAGCCCAAACAAGCGAGAGAGAGACAUAAAUACAGAACCUUGGAGCAGAUGGAAAGAUAAGAGCCGUCAGUCUCACUAUGACCACUCCACCGUGCAGCUCAGAGCAACCAACAACCGAUCAGUGAGAGUGGAAAUAUUACGUCAACUUUUCAUGGAUGUAGUAAUUGUCAUGUCAGAGGCGAAGAUACUUGCAAGACUUUUAUCGACCACCGCUCCAUAGCCUUGGUCAACGCCAUGUAAGCCGUGGGUGAAGAAUCUUAAAGGCGUAGCUUUUGAUGGAGAAGAUGUGUUGGAUGAAAUCAAUUGUGAAGUUCUUCGGCAUAAAGUAGAAUUGGAGAACCAUAUAAAGAAAAAGGGUAUGCAAACGAUUGAAGGUCUUGUCCUGGGGAUGCAUAUGCUCCCUGCAAACAGUGAAAUAAGCUCAAAUGGGACAGUCUUCGAAACCAAUGCAUUUGCAAGGAUGCCCAAACUGAAACUACUCCAUCUUGGUCAUGUACAAGUUGAUGGAUGUUAUGCAGAAUUUCCUACAGGAUUAAGAUGGUUGUGUUGGGUUGAAUUUCCUUUGGAUUCUGUACCUGCUAAUUUUCCUCUAGAGAGCCUGAUUGUUCUUGAAAUGCAAUAUAGCAGCUUGAGGCAAGUCUGCAAAGGGGCAAAAGUACAUUACACUUUCAAUUCCUUUUUGUUUUAGGCUUUCACAGGUUCUUCCAUCAUUGAAGAUCCUUGAUCUCAGCCAUUAUCAUGGCCUUAUCGACACCGAUGACUUUUCGGUUUGCCCCAAUAUAGAGAAAUUGAUUCUUGCAGAUUGCACAGGGCUGAUUGAUCUCAUCAGUUACGAUGACGAGGAACAUGGAAUCUUGUAAAGUGCUUGAAACAAAUGGAAUUCCAAUAAGUGAAUUAUGGCCAGGAAGAAGUCCAUAUAUCUUGAGUUCUUUCCCAUGCUCGUUAGUAUAUUUAAGUCUUAAAAAGUGUGCAAUCUUUCGGAUGAUGCCUUUCCAAGGGAUUUUGGUUAUCUUUCGUCAUUGAAAACCCUAAAUCUUGGGAAUAAUCCAAUUUGUACCCUGCCAAAUUGCAUCAAAGGUUUAACAAAGGCUCCGUAGACUAUCUUUUUCCAAA